rnacentral:lncRNA from 1 species
UCAAGAGCCAGUAAUGAGAGGAGCUGAAGCUUGCGUUGAUUACAGACUGUAUCAGAAUGUCAACGACAAGGGCAGCACGUGGGAAGCGGCGCAUUCCACCCACAGAGCCCGCAGGGAGCACAGAAGUGGAGCAGGGGGGGCUCUCCCCGAGGUCCCGGCCUCCCUGGAUGGAUGUGCCCCACCGCUGGCAGGGGGUGCUUGGGCGGCUUAAACGGCACAGGACAGGUCUGCAUGGAGGCCCGGGCCUCGUGAUGCCAUUCUGGGGAGGGGGAGGGGCAGCCCCAAGACCUUGCAGGCGGACUUGGCCUGGAAGGUAGAGCCACCACCAGGACCCGUGCAGGGCUGCGGGGAACGGGGAAAGAAAACAGGUGUCCUCCCUGGAGAGGCUGCUUAUGUGAUAAAGUCAGGUCCCCAGAGCUUGGAGGGCCCUGCGGGAGCGUGUUCUGGGAGGGAGUCAAAGAGAACAGAAGAGAUGGUUGGACAGAGGUGGGGGUCACAACAGGUGGAACUUCCAAUGAGGGCAGCCAUGGGACAUGGGAUGCGGCUUCUCUGUCUCCCCUGUGGCGUCUGUCCACCGUGACAACCUCUAGGUGACUCUCAAAUUCAGUAGA